GCGGGAGGGCGGAACGGCCUCAGAGGGGGUAGCCGGCGCGGCCCCUCGCCGAGCGCCGCCGGGCAGCUCCCUGCGGGCCCCCAGCUGGGAGCUGUCAUUGAACCGUCACUAAGGCUGGGAAAGACCUCUAAGGUCACCUAGGCCAACUGUCAACCCAUCACCACCACGUCCACAAGUUCUUCUACGCUUCUAGGGAUGGUGAUAUUAGAGAGGGAUGAGUUUUCCCCUGAGCCUUCUCUUCUCCAGACUGCGCAAUCCCGGUUCCCUCAGCCGUUCCUCAUAAGAUUUAUGCUCCAGACCCCACACCAGCUUUGCUGCCCUUCUCUGGACAUUCUUCAGGGCUUUGAUGUCUUCCUUGAAGUGAAGGACCCCAAACUGAACACAGUACUUGAGGUGCAGCUUCAUCAGUUCCAAGCAAUUACCCACCCAAAUGGCAGCAACAGAAAAUACCAGAGAUCUUAAAAAACACACUAAGCUAAGAGAUUAUUUGGUGAGAGGAGGAGUGGAUGGGCCGUACCCUGAGGAAAUCAGCCCAGAGGUCAGCUGCUGGCACAACUGGAGGGAGAGGAGCUCUGUAGCCUGGCGUGUCCCAGGAUCACCCUGUGGAUAUGCAAGAGGCUGAAGCAGACACCUGACAAGGGCACAAAGUCCUUCCUAGGGCCUGAAAAGAACCCAGCUGAUGGACUGAAGGAUAAGAUUUGUAUAUGUAUAUUGUCUUAAACUGUGAAUCUGCAAGCUUUGUGCAUGGAAACAGCAACUGGACAGGGAGUGGCGCUAGCUCAGAACCUGGAGCAGUACUGCUGUGAGCUGUGGUACUGAGACAUAGCCCAGCUGAGGUGCAAGCCAUAUUCACUCCCCUGAUUGUCUCAGUUUGUGCUAGCAGCCAGCAGCUCUGUGUGGUGGACAUGCAGCCUGGGGCUCCUUAUCUCCACAGCACAGCACUACAACCACUGCCAUGUGGACCAAAUCUCUUAAACACAGGCACACAGAUACAAAAGUGAGCCAUUUCAGAGCCAGUUCUGAAAUGCUACUUUAUCAAUCGCAACAGAUUUCAAGAAUUUGAGUCUACCUCCUUUAGCAUGGGGAAAAGCAUCUCAUUGUUUAAACACUCAGAUCUCAGUCUACAGAUAAAGUUAGCAGAUGUGCCACUCAGGAUCUCAGUCUCUCCUCGUCCUCACCAAAGCACACAAGCAGAUGUUCAGCCUUCAGCUUCAUACCGUGCAGGCAACGAGUACUGCAGCAAAUGACACUAUAUAUGUGCUGCUAAGACCACACUUCCAGUUCUAAAAGCGAUAUAUGCAAUACACUGCAGUGAAAAUACUGUUAAAAUCAAGGUCACUGAGACUGAUCCCAGAGACUACCAUUGGUCUUCAUAUCAGUCUCCUUGUUAACAAUAUACUGAACUGACAUUUUCCUGGAUUUAUACACCUUAUCUUCACAGUGCAGCAGCUAGAAAACUAAUACGUGCUAAAAUAAAUGGGGAUGCCAAGUAUAAUACUCCUCCAGGGAAUGGGAACUGCAGUGAACCUUCUUUCCAA
ensembl:lncRNA